rnacentral:rRNA from 1 species
CAGCCGCCGCGGGAAUACGAAGGGGGCUAGCGUUGCUCGGAAUGACUGGGCGUAAAGGGCGCGUAGGCGGUUUUGACAGUCAGAUGUGAAAUUCCUGGGCUUAACCUGGGGGCUGCAUUUGAGACGUCAAGACUAGAGUGUGAGAGAGGGUUGUGGAAUUCCCAGUGUAGAGGUGAAAUUCGUAGAUAUUGGGAAGAACACCGGUGGCGAAGGCGGCAACCUGGCUCAUUACUGACGCUGAGGCGCGAAAGCGUGGGGAGCAAACAGGAUUAGAUACCCGAGUAGUCCCUGUCUCUUAUAC